UGGGGAAUCUUGCGCAAUGGUCUAACGACUGACGCAGCGACGCCGCGUGUGGGAGGACGCCUUUCGGGGUGUAAACCACUGUUGCCCGGGACGAACAGCCCUUUUCGAGGGGUCUGACGGUACCGGGUGAGGAAGCACCGGCUAACUCCGUGCCAGCAGCCGCGGUAAUACGGAGGGUGCGAGCGUUGUCCGGAAUCAUUGGGCGUAAAGGGCGCGUAGGUGGCCCGGUCAGCGUGCGGUGAAAGCUCGGGGCUCAACCCCGAGUCGGCCGUGCGAACUACUGGGCUGGAGCACUGUAGAGGCAGGCGGAAUUCCGGGUGUAGCGGUGGAAUGCGUAGAGAUCCGGAAGAACACCGGUGGCGAAGGCGGCCUGCUGGGCAGUUGCUGACACUGAGGCGCGACAGCGUGGGGAGCAAACA
rnacentral:rRNA from 1 species